rnacentral:rRNA from 1 species
UACGUAGGGUGCAAGCGUUAAUCGGAAUUACUGGGCGUAAAGCGUGCGCAGGCGGUUAUGUAAGACAGUUGUGAAAUCCCCGGGCUCAACCUGGGAACUGCAUCUGUGACUGCAUAGCUAGAGUACGGUAGAGGGGGAUGGAAUUCCGCGUGUAGCAGUGAAAUGCGUAGAUAUCGGGAGGAACACCAGUGGCGAAGGCGAUCACCUGGGGUUGUUCUGACGCUGAGGAGCGAAAGCUAGGGGAGCAAACGGG